AUCCAGCUGAUGAAUCUCAAAUAUGAUGAAACGCGCGUCUUGUAU
rfam:Schistosoma curassoni strain Dakar, Senegal genome assembly, scaffold: SCTD_scaffold0000180